rnacentral:rRNA from 1 species
GCGCGAAAACUUUACAAUGCGGGAAACCGCGAUAAGGGGACACCGAGUGCCAGCAUCCUAUGUUGGCUGUCCAUAUGUAUAAAUCACAUGUGUUAGCAAGGGCCGGGCAAGACCGGUGCCAGCCGCCGCGGUAACACCGGCGGCCCGAGUGGUGGCCACUAUUAUUGGGUCUAAAGGGUCCGUAGCCGGUUUGGUCAGUCUUCCGGGAAAUCUGACGGCUCAACCGUUAGGCUUUCGGGGGAUACUACCAGGCUUGGGACCGGGAGAGGUAAGAGGUACUACGGGGGUAGGAGUGAAAUCUUGUAAUCCCUGUGGGACCACCAGUGGCGAAGGCGUCUUACCAGAACGGGUCCGACGGUGAGGGACGAAAGCUGGGGGCACGAACCGGAUUAGAAACCC